ensembl:lncRNA
AUGCUCUCACACAUUUAUCCUAUUCCUAUUGUUUGUCUGUUGGCAGUGAGCACUCUGUGUAAGGUGUCUGGACCUAAUCAUUUGUCCCAGAAGAUGCUGAGCUUGUUCCGCCAGGCAGCUAAAACCGUGCCUUUGAAGUCCUCCCGCUGUGAACUUGGCCCAUCCACUGGAUAUCCUUCUUACGUGACGCCCACUGGAAGUUGUGAAGCACCCUUCCUAGGCCUUCUGUGUAAAGUUGGUCAGCAGCGGGUUAGGAGAGAUGAAGACAUGUGCCAUAUUUAUGGCAGCUCUGCUGCUCCCCAGCUAUCAAGCAGGUGAGUUAAGGACAUAUAUUGACCUCUCUUUAUUUUCUACAAACAACAGGCUGAGGACAAUAAACAUUUAUAUGAAAUACGAGUCCAUCACCCUAUACGCAUUGUGAUGUGAAACUGAUUCAGAUUACUGGAUACAAUAAAUAGGGUAUCAAACGAAAGAGAAGGCAAGACAAAAAUCUUAACCUUAAGGGCCCCGCUGUUUAAUCUGACAUGUGACUUCAAAUAUAACUUUGUUUAGUAAAUUCAUUAAGGCAGUUAUUUGCUAUGUCCAGAGGGAGCUUUGGAGCUUAAGAGGUUGGUUCAGCACCCAGAUCAUUACAUUGCAUGUCAUUUAGCUGACGCUUUUAUCCAAAGCGACUUACAAUAAGUGCAUUCAACCAUAGGGAUAAAAACUCAGAAGAACAGGAAACAGGAAUGUGCAAUUUACAACUUGUUAUAGUUAAGUGCCAUUAUAAGUACAAUUUAAGUGCUACAUGUUGGUAAGGUAAAGUCUGAAGAGGUGUGUCUUUAGUUUGCGGCGCAAGAUGUGAAGGCUCUCUGCGGUCCUGAUGUCAUCAGAGAGCUCGUUCCACCAUUUUGGAGCCAGGACAGCAAAGAGUCGUGAUCUCGUUGAGUGUUUAGCUCUCAGUGAGGGAGGAACAAGAAAUUUGGCAGAUGCAGAGCGGAGUGGGAUGUAGGGUUUGACCAUGUCCUGGAUGUAGACUGGACCCGAUCCAUUCACAGCAUGGUACGUGAGCUCCAAUGUUUUGAACUGGAAGCCUGGUAGCCAGUGAAGAGAGCCGAGGAGUGGAGUAGUGUGGGAGAAUUUCGGAAGGUUGAAGACCAGUUGAGCUGCUGCAUUCUGGAUGAGCUGAAUGGCUGUGGCAGGGAGACCUACCAGGAGAGUGUUACAGUAGUCGAGGCGGGAGAUCAGUACCUGCGCCGCCUUCUGAGUGAGAAGGGGGCGUAUUCUCCUGAUUUUGGAGAGCGUGUAUCUACAGGAUCACGAUGUUGCAAUAGUGUUGAAUGUCAAGGCUGUUAAGUGUCCCAACACCGAACACACGGGCAGAGCCACUGCAGGGAGUUAGAGAACACAAGUUAGCUUAAAUAGUUAUAACUCGGGACAUGGCAUCAGCCAGUAUAUUUUCAGUGCCUUUUACAUGCCGUACAUCUAGGUGAUAUGGCUGAAGGAACAUACACCAGUCAGUUAAAGACGAUCAGUCUUUGAUUUGGGUUUUGGAAUGAGUGGAGACAGGUUAGGGCAGCGAUUCCCAAAGUGUGGGCCACGGCCCACCAGGGGGCCGCGAAGGUACUGCAGGUGGGCCGCAAGAGGUCAUUUACAAUAAAUAAAUAGUUUUUUAAUUUUCAAUUUUAAAAAGUUUGAAAUUAAUAUAAAAAUAUUUAUGAUGUGGCACAUUAGUUAUGUGAAACAUUAGUUGAUGAAGCACAAACAAUUUAAACUGACAGAUUAAUAAAACAAUAAGGCUCUCGCUCGAAACGGCUGCUCUUGUCCGCCUGUCGUUGUUCAACAAACGGGGCGCCCUCUCGUAGUAUUAAAGUAAAUAUACCGCAUUUUCCGCACUCCAAGGCGCACUUAAAAGGCUUUAAUUUUCUCAAAAAAACGACGAUGCCUUAUAAUCCGGAGCGCCUUAUAUAUGGAUCAAUUGGUUAAUCGGUUGAUCCAUACUGGUUGUACACGGCGCGCAAGGCGCUCUGCCAAACACGACAAAGCUCGUCUACGACGGCGAGAUGCUGAGCGGUGCUCAAGCGCGUGAGAUAUGGAGCUUGUUUCAGGGCGCGUCGGGAGAAACAAAAGCUAUCGUUCUCGCCGAGCACUUAAUGAGAUUAAAGAGCGAGAGACGGUGCCCUUUUCUUUACAGUAGCUGAACCAUCUUAACGGGGAAAAUAAGUUUUUUUUAAAUAAAUAACAAAUUAUAUUUUAUUAACAAAUAAUAAAAUAACUUUUGCUCGCAGAUGUUUGAUUUUGGUUAAAUUCUUAAGGUCAUUUAAUCAUUAUGUUUUGAUCAGAGUUGUGAUUAAAGGUUUGGGUGGGCCGCGAAAGAUUUUCAGAUUUCAAGGUGGGCCGCGGCUAUCUUGAGUUUGGGAACCGCUGGGUUAGGGGAUUAUGAUCCAAGAUGGAGCCGACGAUGGCUGCCACGGUGCUUCGGUGCGCUUGGUUUUUUGUUGUUUUUGUUAAUAAUGUUUCCUGUUGCGAUUCCCGGAGCUCUUUCACCAGCGAUAAGCUCUUGGACAUCCGAGGAACAACUCCAGCGGACUUAAUUUUCUUCUUUCUUUUGUGGAAUUACUGGACAUUCUAGUCAAAGGUGCGCUCACCUUUCAUCAGGCGGUGAGACGCCGUAGGGAAAGAAAACGGGCCGGCUCGUUAGUGCGACUCCGUAAGCGUGGUUCUCGCACACCGCUGCCAGGCAUCUUUCUCUCCAACGUGCGCUCAUUGUGCAACAAACUGAAUGAAAUUCAGCUGCUGGUGAGGAGAGACAGAGACUUUUCUA